CCACGCCCUAGUAUAGGCCCGCAGUGCAUUGCAAACGUACGUCAUUCUUCCAUCUUUCCGCCAUCCUUUUUUCACUGCGCUAUAAGUAUCACUAUCAGCAACUUGUCGGCGUUGAGGCAAAUCGGGACCGGUGAUACAGUAUUUUAUCAGUUCAUCUGAUCAGAUUUGGAAUAAAACGACAUGGCAUUCAGGUGGGCUUCAGUAUUUGCAGUUCUGUGCAUGGCUGUCUUCGCCUCGGCACAGGAAGAAGCGACGUUUCGCUGGUCUGAGGUCUCUGCCGGGGUCGGUGGCUGUAUCGGCGGUAUGAUGCUCAUCAUCGGCAUCUCCUUCGUCAUCUACGACUUCACUUGCCGAGACUACUUUUCUGGCAGGGCUGGAGAAUAUUUCAGGGCGGACGCAGAUGUGGCGGCUGGAAAUUCGACGAAGCUGUAAGCUGAUCGCUUGGAAUUAUUUCUUGUCGCCAAAUGAUAUAGGUGAACGAUUACCCAAAACUCUCUACCUGAUGUACCAAACCUCACCCCGUUUUCUAGUCCAGUACUGUUCUUAUGCCCAAUUUUUUAAAACCAGAAUGACGUGUUUUUAUCCGUUCGAUAUGGCUGACUUGUAAAUAUACAUUUUAUUACUCCAUUUUAAAAAAAUCUGAAAGAGAUUUAAGGGCCAAAUCAGUCUUUCAAAUACGUUCCCGAAGAAAAUGCAAAAAAGGACAUGAAAUAACAAUUAUAACAAGUCUUAAUUUUGAUAUAUACGUGACUUGUAUAUUACAGUAAAAUAAUACCUUUUUAUAUAAAACGCCGCACACGUUUGCAUACCUGCUGAUCCAAACAAGUAUUUUUACUUAAAAAUUGAUGUAAAUAAUAAGCACAUUAGAGCAGAUUUGGCACGAUAUUUACAUGUAGAAAGUGGUCGACCAAAUUUACAUUGCGUGGUCCUUGAGAUAGGGUCUUCCAAUCAAAUUGAAAAACACUGACUAAACGAAACGCUGAAUAGGCCCAAGUACACAAGGCAACUAUUGUUGAUUUUUUAAUGUAAAACACCAUUAAUCUCCAGUAAUUUUGUGGUCGUCUUCGAAUGAAUUUUUAAUUAAAUUGCAGUAAUUUCAAUGGUAUAUUUUUUUACUGACUGGAAUAGAACGUAGUUUAAUGAGACCUUUGCUCCAACUAUAGAAAACCGGGUCAUGAAGAUAUUGAUGCUUGUAUAUUUAGUUGUGGAGAUAUGUUUUAAUUCUAAUCAUAUUAAUUGUAAUCAUAGUACAUGUAGUUGAAUGUUUUUAAUUGUUUGUCGAAUAAAGUAUAUAUAUAUAAGAUA
rnacentral:lncRNA from 1 species